UUUGUACACACCGCCCGUCGCUACUACCGAUUGAAUGGCUCGGUGAGGCCUUCGGACUGGCCCAGGGAGGUCGGCAACGACCACCCAGGGCCGGAAAGUUGGUCAAACCCGGUCAUUUAGAGGAAGUAAAAGUCGUAACAAGGUCUCCGUAGGUGAACCUGCGGAGGGAUCAUUA
rnacentral:rRNA from 3 species